GGCAUGGUGGCUCAGUGGUUAGAGCGCCCGCCUCAUGAACAGGUCGUGGGUUCGAACCCGGCCAAGUCA
rnacentral:tRNA from 1 species